rnacentral:siRNA from 1 species
ACAGGGCUUCGAAUCUGGUUGC